rnacentral:rRNA from 1 species
UACGUAGGGGGCAAGCGUUGUCCGGAUUUAUUGGGCGUAAAGAGCUUGUAGGCGGUCUGUCGCGUCUGCUGUGAAAAUCCGGGGCUCAACCCCGGACUUGCAGUGGGUACGGGCAGACUAGAGUGUGGUAGGGGAGACUGGAAUUCCUGGUGUAGCGGUGAAAUGCGCAGAUAUCAGGAGGAACACCGAUGGCGAAGGCAGGUCUCUGGGCCACUACUGACGCUGAGAAGCGAAAGCAUGGGAGCGAACAGG